UCUAGCCAUGGGCAGGUUGAAGGUUGGGUAACACUAACUGGAGGACCGAACCGACUAAUGUUGAAAAAUUAGCGGAUGACUUGUGGCUGGGGGUGAAAGGCCAAUCAAACCGGGAGAUAGCUGGUUCUCCCCGAAAGCUAUUUAGGUAGCGCCUCGUGAAUUCAUCUCCGGGGGUAGAGCACUGUUUCGGCAAGGGGGUCAUCCCGACUUACCAACCCGAUGCAAACUGCGAAUACCGGAGAAUGUUAUCACGGGAGACACACGGCGGGUGCUAACGUCCGUCGUGAAGAGGGAAACAACCCAGACCGCCAGCUAAGGUCCCAAAGUCAUGGUUAAGUGGGAAACGAUGUGGGAAGGCCCAGACAGCCAGGAUGUUGGCUUAGAAGCAGCCAUCAUUUAAAGAAAGCGUAAUAGCUCACUGGUCGAGUCGGCCUGCGCGGAAGAUGUAACGGGGCUAAACCAUGCACCGAAGCUGCGGCAGCGACGCUUAUGCGUUGUUGGGUAGGGGAGCGUUCUGUAAGCCUGUGAAGGUGUGCUGUGAGGCAUGCUGGAGGUAUCAGAAGUGCGAAUGCUGACAUAAGUAACGAUAAAGCGGGUGAAAAGCCCGCUCGCCGGAAGACCAAGGGUUCCUGUCCAACGUUAAUCGGGGCAGGGUGAGUCGACCCCUAAGGCGAGGCCGAAAGGCGUAGUCGAUGGGAAACAGGUUAAUAUUCCUGUACUUGGUGUUACUGCGAAGGGGGGACGGAGAAGGCUAUGUUGGCCGGGCGACGGUUGUCCCGGUUUAAGCGUGUAGGCUGGUUUUCCAGGCAAAUCCGGAAAAUCAAGGCUGAGGCGUGAUGACGAGGCACUACGGUGCUGAAGCAACAAAUGCCCUGCUUCCAGGAAAAGCCUCUAAGCAUCAGGUAACAUCAAAUCGUACCCCAAACCGACACAGGUGGUCAGGUAGAGAAUACCAAGGCGCUUGAGAGAACUCGGGUGAAGGAACUAGGCAAAAUGGUGCCGUAACUUCGGGAGAAGGCACGCUGAUAUGUAGGUGAAGUCCCUCGCGGAUGGAGCUGAAAUCAGUCGAAGAUACCAGCUGGCUGCAACUGUUUAUUAAAAACACAGCACUGUGCAAACACGAAAGUGGACGUAUACGGUGUGACGCCUGCCCGGUGCCGGAAGGUUAAUUGAUGGGGUCAGCGCAAGCGAAGCUCUUGAUCGAAGCCCCGGUAAACGGCGGCCGUAACUAUAACGGUCCUAAGGUAGCGAAAUUCCUUGUCGGGUAAGUUCCGACCUGCACGAAUGGCGUAAUGAUGGCCAGGCUGUCUCCACCCGAGACUCAGUGAAAUUGAACUCGCUGUGAAGAUGCAGUGUACCCGCGGCAAGACGGAAAGACCCCGUGAACCUUUACUAUAGCUUGACACUGAACAUUGAGCCUUGAUGUGUAGGAUAGGUGGGAGGCUUAGAAGUGUGGACGCCAGUCUGCAUGGAGCCGACCUUGAAAUACCACCCUUUAAUGUUUGAUGUUCUAACGUUGACCCGUAAUCCGGGUUGCGGACAGUGUCUGGUGGGUAGUUUGACUGGGGCGGUCUCCUCCUAAAGAGUAACGGAGGAGCACGAAGGUUGGCUAAUCCUGGUCGGACAUCAGGAGGUUAGUGCAAUGGCAUAAGCCAGCUUGACUGCGAGCGUGACGGCGCGAGCAGGUGCGAAAGCAGGUCAUAGUGAUCCGGUGGUUCUGAAUGGAAGGGCCAUCGCUCAACGGAUAAAAGGUACUCCGGGGAUAACAGGCUGAUACCGCCCAAGAGUUCAUAUCGACGGCGGUGUUUGGCACCUCGAUGUCGGCUCAUCACAUCCUGGGGCUGAAGUAGGUCCCAAGGGUAUGGCUGUUCGCCAUUUAAAGUGGUACGCGAGCUGGGUUUAGAACGUCGUGAGACAGUUCGGUCCCUAUCUGCCGUGGGCGCUGGAGAACUGAGGGGGGCUGCUCCUAGUACGAGAGGACCGGAGUGGACGCAUCACUGGUGUUCGGGUUGUCAUGCCAAUGGCACUGCCCGGUAGCUAAAUGCGGAAGAGAUAAGUGCUGAAAGCAUCUAAGCACGAAACUUGCC
rnacentral:rRNA from 1 species